rnacentral:rRNA from 1 species
GAUGAACGCUGGCGGCGUGCCUAACACAUGCAAGUCGAGCGAACGGACGAUAAGCUUGUUUCUCUGAUGUUAGCGGCGGACGGGUGAGUAACGCGUGCAUCACCUUCUUAUAUUUCUUGGAUAAUUUCGUGAAACCGCAUCUGAUACCAGAUGAUAUCUUGUACCGCUUGGAUCAAAAGAUAUUCACGGCUUUGGUGUUUCAUUUAGCUGGUGCCGCGUUGGAUUAGCUAGUUGGUAAGGUAACGGCUUACCAAGGCGACGAUGCGUAGCUGACCUGAGAGGAUGAUCGGCCACACUGGAACUGAGACACGGUCCAGACUCCUACGGGAGGCAGCAGUAGGGAAUCUUGCGCAAUGGGCGAAAGCCUGACGCAGCAACGCCGCGUGGGUGAUGAAGGUCUUCGGGUCGUAAAGCCCUGUUAUUGGGGAAGAACAGAUGUGUAAGUAAAUGUGGCUGUCUUGACGGUACCUAAUCAAAAAGCAACGGCUAACUACGUG